rnacentral:rRNA from 1 species
AUUGAACGCUGGCGGCAGGCCUAACACAUGCAAGUCGAGCGGAAGAAGGGAGCUUGCUCCUGGAUUCAGCGGCGGACGGGUGAGUAAUGCCUAGGAAUCUGCCUGGCAGUGGGGGAUAACGUCCGGAAACGGGCGCUAAUACCGCAUAAGUGCUGAGGGAGAAAGUGGGGGGUCUUUGGACCUCACGCUAUCAGAUGAGCCUAGGUCGGAUUAGCUAGUUGGUGGGGUAAAGGCCUACCAAGGCGACGAUCCGUAACUGGUCUGCGAGGCUGAUCAGCCACCCUGGAACUUGGACACGCACCAGACUCCUACGGUAGGCAGCAGUGGGGAAUAUUGGACAGAAGGCGAAAACCUGGUCCAGCCAUGCCGCGUGUGUGAAGAAGGUCUUCGGAUUGUAAAGCACUUUAAGUUGGGAGGAAGGGCAGUAAGCUAAGACCUUGCUGUUUUGACGGUAACAACAGAAUAAGCACCGGCUAACUACGUG